CCUACGGGAGGCUGCAGUGAGGAAUAUUGGUCAAUGGGCGCGAGCCUGAACCAGCCAAGUAGCGUGAAGGAUGACUGCCCUAUGGGUUGUAAACUUCUUUUAUAAAGGACUAAAGUGAGGCACGUGUGUCUUUUUGUAUGUACUUUAUGAAUAAGGAUCGGCUAACUCCGUGCCAGCAGCCGCGGUAAUACGGAGGAUCCGAGCGUUAUCCGGAUUUAUUGGGUUUAAAGGGAGCGUAGGUGGGUAGGUAAGUUAGUUGUGAAAGCUUGAUGCUCAACAUUAAAAUUGCCACUGAUACUGGCAGCCUUGAGUGCAGUUGAGGAAGGCGGAAUGUGUGGUGUAGCGGUGAAAUGCUUAGAUAUCACGAAGAACUCCGAUUGCGAAGGCAGCUUACUAAGCUGCCACUGACAUUGAUGCACGAAAGUGUGGGUAGCGAACAGGAUUAGAUACCCUUGUAGUC
rnacentral:rRNA from 1 species